rnacentral:rRNA from 1 species
UGUAAGCGUAUACCAAAGUUGUUGCAGUUAAAACGCUCGUAGUCGGAAUUUGGCAGUUCCGGAUGUGUGCACGUCGUGUGCGCACUUCGCGGGGAUUGCUUUUGUGGUCUUGCGUAGGAUGAGGCACUUUUAUUAGUGAACGUCCUCACGCAACCACUUUUUACUGUGAGAAAAUCAGAGUGCUCAAAGCAGGCAUUUGCCGUGAAUGUAUUAGCAUAGAAUAAUAGAAUAGGACUUGGUUCUAUUUUGUUGGUUUGUUGGGACUGAGUAAUGAUUAAGAGGGACAGUUGGGGGCAUUUGUAUUUCGGUGCUAGAGGUGAAAUUCUUAGAUUACCGAAAGACAAACUGCUGCGAAAGCGUCUGCCAAGGAUGUUUUCAUUGA